CACAGAUCUGUUGUCUGCUCUGCUCAAUAAGCAACCAUUAUCAAGCACCAUGUGGAAGAGAGGAUGAUCAAGAACGGAGAGAAGCAAGCAUCCAGAAGCAGCAAUAACCAGCAUCGGGUUCUUUGGUCUCUUGGGGAGUGAUAAGGGUAGACACAGAGCACUACAGACGAAGCAUGGCCCCCAUCUUUCAAAAUAAAGAAAGGAUCUGAGAGAAAAGAUCAAGAAGAAUCUCCAUCCAUACCGCAAGAACACAAGUGUAG
ensembl:lncRNA